rnacentral:tRNA from 1 species
GUAGAUAUAGUUUAGAUAAAAUAUUAGAUUGUGAUUCUAAAGAUAGAGGUUAGACUCCCCUUAUCCACC